GGCUCAGAUUGAACGCUGGCGGAAUGCUUUACACAUGCAAGUCGAGCGGCAGCGCGGGGGCAACCCUGGCGGCGAGCGGCGAACGGGUGAGUAACAUAUCGGAACGUACCCAGUCGUGGGGGAUAACUAUCCGAAAGGAUAGCUAAUACCGCAUACGUCCUGAGGGAGAAAGCGGGGGAUCGCAAGACCUCGCGCGAUUGGAUGAGCCGACGUCGGAUUAGCUAGUUGGAGGGGUAAAGGCCCACCAAGGCGACGAUCCGUAGCUGGUCUGAGAGGAUGAUCAGCCACACUGGAACUGAGACACGGUCCAGACUCCUACGGGAGGCAGCAGUGGGGAAUAUUGGACAAUGGGCGCAAGCCUGAUCCAGCAAUGCCGCGUGUGUGAAGAAGGCCUUCGGGUUGUAAAGCACUUUUAUCAGGAACGAAAAGCGUUGGAUUAAUACUCUGACGUGCUGACGGUACCUGAGGAAUAAGCACCGGCUAACUUCGUG
rnacentral:rRNA from 1 species